CUAAUGUCGACUUGAAUUGUCUAGUAAAGGAACACUAGGAGAAAGGUUGUGAACUGUGAUGAACUACAAGCGGCUGCGUCUUAAUUGCCACUUACGCCUGGGGGAAGAUGUCUUUAUAGCAGUUUCAUUCAAGGCCGUGACCUGGUGUAGGGUCUCUGCUUAUCGGAAAUCUGCUUCCAUCCUGUUCUUUGUUACAGCCCGGAGUAAACAGUGGGAGGCAGGAGCUCAGGAAAGUGAUCCUGGCCUUGCUAUGGAUGCUGGACGGAAGGUAUCAGCUGAGUGCUCAGCAGUAGAGGAACGUACGGGAAAUUACUAAAUACAGAGGAGAAGACAACACUACCAUAUACAGUAUGCCUGUCAUCUGGAAAUUAGAUGCUGGGGUUUGUAGUUCUGCAGAAGCAAUGUUAACUGCCUGUUGCAUACAGUUGUACGCUUUCAAGAAUUUAAAGGACAGGGGGGUGCAUAGAAAAUAUAUCUGGGGACAAAGAGUAAUGAUGCCAUAAUACUGCAUGCAAUUAUGCGUAAAUAAUACACCCAUAUACUUCCAAAUUACAGUGUCAUAAAAUGCCAUACUGUGAAAACAUAAU